rnacentral:rRNA from 1 species
GAUGAACGCUGGCGGCGUGCUUAACACAUGCAAGUCGAACGAGAAGUGAAGACGGAAACCUUCGGGCGGAAGGCUUUAUUUCGAGUGGCGGACGGGUGAGUAACGCGUGGGUAACCUGCCUCAUACAGGGGGAUAACAGUUGGAAACGACUGUUAAUACCGCAUAAGACCACAGCACCGCAUGGUGCGGGGGUAAAAACUCCGGUGGUAUGAGAUGGACCCGCGUUCGAUUAGCCAGUUGGCGGGGUAACGGCCCACCAAAGCGACGAUCGAUAGCCGAUCUGAGAGGAUGACCGGCCACAUUGGGACUGAGACACGGCCCAAACUCCUACGGGAGGCAGCAGUGGGGAAUAUUGCACAAUGGGGGAAACCCUGAUGCAGCGACGCCGCGUGAGUGAAAAAGUAUUUCGGUAUGUAAAGCUCUAUCAGCAGGGAAGAAAAUGACGGUACCUGAGUAAGAAGCCCCGGCUAACUACGUG